UGCAAUCUCGUAAAUGACACGGACGAAUAAAGCCAUAUCACGACUCAUGAGAGCGGAAUCAAAGUCGAACGAGUCAAAUAGAUAGACAGCAGGCUUACUUAUCGUCGAACGGGAAAUAUUAUCAUUCCAUAAGAAAACGUGUUGGUUUGAUGACUCGAAAACGAAGGCGAGAGCGAAGCUGGUCAUAUGACACGAGGUUGUGAUUAAAGUAUUUCGUUUGAAUGUAAAGAUGAUCGAGAGGAUCUUACGACAAACGGAGAGUCAAACGAGAGAGCCAACGGAUCGAAGACGCUUCUUCUGCGUCCAUCUUCACGGCUCUCCACGUCUUACCAGAGACAUGCAGUCUAGGAUAAAGGCUUCGAGAUAAACAAUGUCCGAUGAAUCACUCUCUCGACCCGGCCGCUCUGCAAAAUUGCGUAUCGACGAACAGCGAAGGGAGGGCAGAACCGAUGUUCGAACCGGCGAAUAUUAUUAUCUCGGUGUUGAGAAAUGCGCCGGGGAAAUAUAAAUGGAAUGGCUAACACAACGCGUACGUGUGUAUGUGCGUGUGUCUUCGAAGAAUAUUCCCUCGAAAAUCGAUUUUCUCGAAAGCAUCAACCGUGUCUUAUCUCGCGUCAGCUGUUUUCGGCCGAAAUGUCCAGUUUCGGGAUCGUUAUCGUUUAGGUAGAGACGUAAGUCCCUUGUGUUUCGAUCUGAUAAGGAUUUCGAGCGAAUAUCUUUCUCUUUUGCGAUUGAAAGUUUUUCUUAUCUUUCGGUGGCUUCGUUUUUUGGGAGAGAGAGAGAGAGGAGGAGGAGGAAAAUUAAUCUUUUAAAAGAUAAAAUGUAUUUCGAAACGAAGAAGAGUAUUGGUAUAAUUUUGCAAGGUCUUCCAUAAUUGCUAUGCUAAAAUGGUGAUAUUUUCUUUUUUUAAACGAAUAUUAAGACGUGUUUUAAAACCAGUUUUUCGAGUUAAAAUAUCUAUGAAGGCUAGAUCAGAAAUGAAGAAUCUUUAUUCUUUCGAAAAAUGAAAAGGCAAAUUUAUUUAUCGUUUCUAUAUUUAUUAUAAUCUCACGUUACGCUACUAUUAAAAUAGUGACAAUAAUAAAAGAAAAAAUAUUUCUCGUUCAUUUCUUUUUUUAAACAGCUCAAGUAAAAUUAGAAAAUUAUUUACAAAUAAAUUUAGAGAAACGUAGGAAUUUAUUUAUAACGGUUUAAUAAUAAGAUAAAGAUUUGUUUUAAUUCGUUUGACGAAAUAAAAGGCGUUGAUUUAAUUUUUUAUUUUCGUUUUUAAUUAAAAGCGAAUGAAAAAAAAAAACUAUUUUUAUCAAAUAUUCGCGCAAAGACUUAAUGAAACUUCAAGAAUGCGUGAAUCCCCGUGAUCGAUGACAUUUUUAAACGCACGUGUAACUACUUCCUUCUUACACAGGGGUAUGCAUGUAAAUAUGAGCAUCGCUAAUUCCGUCCCUCAAAAGCUUCUAUCAUGUUCUUGCAUUAUACAAGCUUUUCCCUUUGACUCUCUGGCACAAUAGCGGGAACCUUCGUCGUCAAACAUAAAUUCCACUUUAUCCAUGAACGUGAGAAAACCUCGUUUGUGAUCAUACCACCUUUUCCAAGGAUCAUUGCCGAUAAAAGUAAAAAAAAAAAAAAAAAAAAAACAGCGUAGAAAA